CACGUAGUUGGCCGCACCUUCUUCUGCAGGUACCGUCAUUUUCGUUCCUACUGAAAGCGGUUUACAACCCUAAGGCCUUCUUCCCGCACGCGGCGUUGCUGCGUCAGGCUUUCGCCCAUUGCGCAAGAUUCCCCACUGCUGCCUCCCGUAGGAGUCUGGGCCGUGUCUCAGUCCCAGUGUGGCUGAUCAUCCUCUCAGACCAGCUACCCGUCGAUGCCUUGGUAGGCCGUUACCCCACCAACAAGCUGAUAGGCCGCGAGGCCCUCCCGAACCGAAAAAUCUUUCGUCAGCGCACCAUGUGAUGCUCCGACGGCAUCAGGUAUUAGCAGAUGUUUCCGUCUGUUAUCCCUGAGUCCGGGGUAGGUUCCUCACGUGUUACUCACCCGUUCGCCACUAGGUUUUCGAGGUUAUUGCUAACCCUUGAACCUCGUUCGACUUGCAUGUGUUAAGCACGCCGCCAGCGUUCGUCCUGAGCCAGGAUCAAACUCU
rnacentral:rRNA from 1 species